rnacentral:rRNA from 1 species
UACGUAGGGGGCGAGCGUUGUCCGGAUUUACUGGGCGUAAAGCGCACGUAGGCGGAUCUUUAAGUCAGAGGUGAAAUCCCAAGGCUCAACCUUGGAACUGCCUUUGAUACUGGGGAUCUUGAGUCCGGGAGAGGUGAGUGGAACUGCGAGUGUAGAGGUGAAAUUCGUAGAUAUUCGCAAGAACACCAGUGGCGAAGGCGGCUCACUGGCCCGGUACUGACGCUGAGGUGCGAAAGCGUGGGGAGCAAACAGG